AAACGUAGAGGGGAAUCGUACCUAAGUUUAAGAACAGAAUUGAAAUUUGUUUUUUAGGGUUUUCUGAGCAAUGGAAGAUUCGGAAAAGAGAAGGCACCGUGAGAGAAGAGAUAGGGAUAGGGAUCGAGAACGGCGCCGUUCCGAGAGAGAGAAGAGCAGUGAUUCCGAUAGGGAAAAGGAAAGGGAAAAAGAAAAACACCGGAGGGAGAGGAAAGAUAGGGAACGGGAAAAAGAAAAAGAGAGGGAAAGGGCAAGGGAAAAGGAAAGGGAGAGGGAAAGGGAAAAAAGGGAAAGAGAAAGGGAAAGGGAGAAGAGGGAAAGAGAAAGGGAAAAGGAAAGGGAGAGAGAGAGGAAGUCGAGGGAAAGGGAAAGGGAAAGGGAAAGGGAGAAGCGGAGGGAAUAUAAUAGUGAUGAUAGUAAGGAGGAAAAGGAACGACAUAGGAAGCGUCGAAGGAGGGAACGAGACGAUGAUGAUGAUGGUGAUGAUUAUAAGGAGAGAGAAAGCAAAUCGACUAGAGGAGAAAGUCCUGCUAAGAAAAAGAGUGGUGAGGAUGAGUUGGAGAAGAAAGAGAAGAAGAGUAGGGAACAGGAGAUGGAAGAUGAGCAGCAAAGACUGGACGAGGAGAUGGAGAAACGGAGGAGAAGGGUUCAGGAAUGGCAGGAGUUAAGGAGGAAGAAGGAAGAAUCAGAGAGGGAAAAACGUGGGGAAGGGAAUGUGGAAGAGCAGGAGGCUAAGGUUGGUAAAGCUUGGACUCUGGAAGGAGAAUCAGAUGAUGAUGAAGUAGGUUCUCCAACAAAAUUGUAUACAAAUAUGGAUGUUGAUGAUAAUGAGAAUUCGAAGCCUGAUAGUAAGGAAGGUGGAGAUGGAAUGAUGGAAGGAGGAGAUUCUGAUAAUGGGGAAGAUAAAAUGGUUGUUAACCAAAAUGGGGGCAAUGGGAUUGCUGAGGAUGAUGAUGAAAUUGAUCCAUUAGAUGCUUUUAUGAAUUCAAUGGUGUUACCUGAAGUUGAGAAACUAAGUAAUGCGGUUGUUGAUCCUCCUCCUACUGCUGAUGAUGAUAAAAAUGGGAACUUUAAGGAUAAAAAAGAUGGCUUCAGUAAUGGUGGACAGCAACCAAAGAAAGAUUCUAACAAGGCACUUGGGAGAAUUAUUUCUGGGGAAGACUCGGAUUCAGAUUAUGGGGAUGUUGAGAAUGAUGAAGAGAAUUUAGAAGAUGAAGAUGAUGAUGAGUUCAUGAAAAGGGUAAAGAAGACAAAAGCUGAAAAACUAUCUAUUGUUGAUCACUCGAAGAUUGAUUAUAAACCUUUCAGGAAAAAUUUCUAUAUUGAAGUGAAGGAGAUAUCAAGAAUGACACCUGAAGAAGUUGCUGCUUACAGGAAGGAAUUGGAAUUGAAGUUACAUGGAAAGGAUGUGCCCAAACCAAUCAAAACCUGGCAUCAAACUGGACUCACAAGUAAAAUAUUGGAGACAAUAAGGAAACUUAAUUAUGAGAAGCCAAUGCCAAUUCAAGCUCAGGCACUGCCCAUAAUUAUGAGUGGUCGAGACUGCAUUGGCAUAGCAAAAACCGGCUCUGGCAAAACCCUUGCUUUUGUGCUACCAAUGUUAAGGCAUAUCAAAGAUCAGCCACCUGUAGUAGCUGGAGACGGGCCUAUUGGGCUCAUCAUGGCACCUACAAGAGAGCUUGUCCAGCAGAUUCAUAGUGAUAUAAAGAAGUUUGCCAAGGCAUUGGGAAUCAGAUGUGUCCCUGUGUAUGGAGGGUCUGGUGUUGCCCAGCAGAUUAGUGAAUUAAAGCGGGGAACAGAGAUUGUUGUCUGUACUCCAGGUAGGAUGAUUGAUAUACUUUGUACUAGUGGGGGAAAAAUUAGUAAUCUGCGUAGAGUAACAUAUUUGGUUUUGGAUGAAGCUGACAGAAUGUUUGAUAUGGGUUUUGAACCUCAAAUCACUCGAAUUGUUCAAAAUAUUCGACCUGAUCGCCAAACUGUACUAUUUUCUGCCACUUUCCCUCGUCAGGUUGAGAUUUUGGCACGUAAAGUGUUGAAUAAACCUGUUGAAAUACAGGUUGGUGGGAGAAGUGUUGUGAACAAGGACAUAACUCAGUUGGUCGAGAUGAGGCCAGAAAGUGAAAGGUUCCUGAGAUUGUUAGAACUUCUAGGUGAAUGGUGUGAGAAGGGGAAAAUUUUGAUUUUUGUCCACACCCAAGAAAAGUGUGAUGCUUUGUUUAGGGAUUUACUCAAACACGGUUACCCUUGCCUGUCACUUCAUGGGGCCAAGGAUCAGACAGAUCGUGAAUCCACUAUUUCUGAUUUUAAGAGUAAUGUCUGCAAUUUGUUGAUUGCAACAAGUGUUGCAGCAAGGGGUUUAGAUGUGAAGGAGCUUGAAUUAGUGAUUAAUUUUGAUGUUCCAAAUCAUUAUGAAGAUUAUGUUCACCGUGUUGGUAGGACAGGUAGAGCUGGCCGGAAAGGCUGUGCCAUCACAUUUAUCUCCGAGGAUGAUGCAAGAUAUGCACCAGAUCUUGUAAAAGCUUUGGAGCUCUCUGAGCAAGUUGUUCCUGAUGACCUGAAAGCUCUUGCUGAUGGCUUUAUGGCAAAAGUCAAUCAGGGACUUGAGCAGGCCCAUGGAACAGGUUAUGGUGGAAGUGGUUUUAAAUUCAAUGAAGAGGAGGAUGAAAAGAGAAAAGCAGCAAAGAAAGCACAAGCAAAAGAAUAUGGGUUUGAGGAAGACAAGUCAGAUUCUGAAGAUGAAGAUGAAGGGGUGCGGAAGGCAGGUGGUGACAUCUCACAGCAGACAGCGCUUGCUCAAAUAGCUGCCAUGGCUGCUGCCACCAAAGCUAGUACUGCUUUGAUGCAGAACACUCUAUCAUCUGUUCAACUGCUUCCCAAUGCUGUAUUGCCCGUUUCUCUUCCUGGUGUACUUGGUGUGUCAAUGCCAGGUACUGCAGCAGUUGUGCCUGGGAGUGGGCUGCCUGGUCUUCCAAAUGAAGAGGCUGCUCGAAAAGCUGCAUUGCAAGCUGCCCUUAACUUGCAGCAUAACUUGGCAAAGAUUCAAGCUGAUGCGAUGCCAGAACAUUAUGAAGCAGAGUUGGAGAUAAAUGAAUUCCCCCAGAAUGCUCGAUGGAAGGUUACCCACAAGGAAACUUUGGGUCCAAUAUCAGAAUGGACUGGAGCUGCCAUUACCACCAGGGGCCAGUUUUUCCCACCUGGUCGGAUCCCAGGACCAGGGGAACGCAAGCUUUACUUGUUCAUUGAGGGACCUACAGAGCUAUCUGUUAAGAGAGCUAAGGCUGAACUAAAACGUGUCUUGGAAGAUAUCUCACACCAGUCCUUACAACUUCCUGGUGGGACUCAACCUGGCAGAUACCAGGUUUUGUAGAUAGAUAGAGCCAUUACUAGCUCUCACCUACAUUGUGGGAGGAACUUUCUCAAAAGUACUAGCUGAUAAAGGCUGAUUUUCUUAUGUGCAUACAUUGGUUAACCUCUGUUGAAAUCCAUUUAAUACUGGUGAUUAACAAGGGUUCUUUCUUUCUUUUUUUUCCCUUUUUGUCUUUUCUUCUCCUUUGUUUUUCAGGUCUGAGAAGGCCAGGAUUCGUAAGUCCAUUAUUUUCAGAUUUUAGUGAUUGUAGUGUUUCUCAUCGAGUUGUUAUAGUUAAAAGGAGCACGUUGUUUUGGGUUUGGUGCAUUCUGAUGCAUUGGCUCUGUUUACUUGGCCUCAGAUUCACUAAUCCUUUAGUUAAUUUGAUAUGGAUGGUGGCUUGAGUCCCACUACGGUGCUGGGUCGAGAAGAUAAGUAGAGGAAUCAGAUGCUGUGUGAUUGGUAACAUAUUUCUCCCUAAUGGGAACUUCUAUGCUAUUUCAAGCAUCAACCUGAGAUUGCAUUUUGGUUUAGAAAGAUGUGGAUGUCCUGGAUCCUUGCAAAUUUAAUACUUUAGCCAUAUUUUGUUCUGAACUUGAGUUUUUUCUUUUUUUAAAGUUAAUAUAUAUGUUCUGAAAGUAUAUAUCUGACUUCAAUAUAAAGUUAUGAACAGCAUAUAGCAAACCCAAUCAGAGCUGCUAGGCUGGGAUUUGAUUUGUGUAUUCCCAGUUCUUGUUUAUAAUGAGUAGAAAGUGGAAGGGUAUUUGCUAAAGAAAAUGACGAGCCUCAAUUUGGCAAGUGAAAGAGUAUGUAUGUUUUUGUUCGAUUGGAUUUGAUUUGUGUAAAGGCAGCAGAGAUGACUGGCUCAUGAAUGAAACUGAAAUUGAAAUGACAGGAUUGAAGAUAUGCUGAAGAAUAUUGUCAUCACAAUAGAUGAUAUCACAUGGAGAUUAACCUGUAAAUCAAUUAGAGAAAGAAGUAAAAACAGUGGUGAAGUAUGUGGGGUUAGUGGACAUGAGCUUCUCCAAGGGAAAGCCAUCCCUGGUGUGUGGUAGGCUGAUGUUUAUGGACUUCUGUGAUACUCUGCUCCUUGCCUAUCGGGACUAAACUGUCCUCUUCCUCUAUAUUCCUUGUGUCCAUCACACUCUGGUCCUGAGUGGUUUUGGACAUAUAAACAUGAUUAAAUGUUCUUGUCACUCUGCAUUGGACUUGAUUGCAUAUUAUUAGAUAGGCUUGCCAUAUAUGUUUAUCUUGUGGAGAGUGUUUUUAUAUUAAAUUCUAUUUCUGAAAUAGUUCUUGGUACAUUCUUGUGUGAAUGCUGUUAAAUGUUCUCUGCAUUAUGCUUUGUACUGUUAUAGUAACAAGAUUGAAGGAUUGCAUUUGUUCUUAUUUGAAUGCACAGGUCGGAAUUUAUGUGCUGCACCGACUGUAACAAGUUUCAAGGACUGCACUUGUUCUUUGAAUUUUGUUUGCUAACUGCAACACCCUUCUAGGUGCUUUCUUGUUUAAUUUUCCAAUGGCAACAAAUGUAUCAACCAGGGCAGAUGCUGCUUCUGCCUAUGGGCCUGUGUAGGUGAAUGGUACUGGCAAGUUCGCCACUCUAUCUCGAGCACUGAAGUUAGGUGAGUUGAAAGAGCCUUUUUGUCAUUUUAAUCAGUCUUUGGACUGUAUUCAUAGAUCAUUCAUCCCUCAGAUUAUGCAUCCAGAUUCUUCGCUUGAGAAUUGUCUGCAUCAUAUUAGUUAGUUAAUAUUUGAGUGUGGAAGAGAUCUUUGUUUCCAUUCAGUGUGACUUACCUCUUUUUGAUGUAUCUUCAUAGACAGUGAAUACCGACUUCCUGCAUGAACAGACCAGGUGAGUCUUUCUGGGAUUAAAAGGUUGCAAAUAUAAUUGAUUAUAGAGAGAAACAUAGUCCUUGUGUAAUCUAAAUGCAACUCGGGCCAGGAUAAUCAGAUUUUGAAGCAUUUUUUCUUGCAGCAGCCAAAGAAAAUGCAAAGCAGUUUUACUUAUUAGGCACACCUUAUGUUGACUUUGUAGCUGAACUAAGCUCGUGCUUCUGAUUGGGGUGCUUAGGUCAGUGGUCGAGCACAUCCAAUAGGACUAGCAAAAAUCCAUUGUUGGCUGUGGGGUGAAGUCGAUACUUUGAAACAUUGGGUAUAGAUGUUUAAAUCUCAAGUCACCCAUUUGAUGACAUUAGGGUCACAAAUCAUAACCAAUAAGUUGAAUGACAUCUUUUUGUAGCCUGGGAAACCCAUUUUUUCCAGGCUACAAAGAGGGUCACACGAUCGAUGCAGAAAUCGGUGGAAUCUCAAGUUCCAAUGUGUUUUGACUUGAUAGAAGUUUGAGGUGAUCUAGUUGUCCGUAGGCACCCACAAUCAGUAUUCUAUGGAAGAUGAAACUACUUUAUUCGAUAUGUUUAGGAAUAUUCAAAUAAAGAAGAUUAAAAAGAAUAUUACGUAGUUUUGGUAAGGAGGUGAGAACAAUUAAAUAACGAACAAUUUGAAUAAUUUUUUUUUCAAAGAAAGUUAAAAAUUAUUUCAUCAAUAUUAUUCUAGACAAUACAGCAAGUAUAAUCCUACAUUAAAAAUAGUGUCUUUAAACUAAUGAUAAUAACGGAUAGUAAAUAAAUAGGG